UGCACGACCAAGCCUAUAGGACUUUGCAUAAUGCGUUUAUUGAUUCACUGGAAUGUAACCAGUGGUUUACUAAUCUGUCACAUGUUACCUCUAGGAUACAAUGUCACACGUUGUGUCGUUUGGAUACUAUGUAGCCAAAUUCACAACAUAUUCGGUGAAGUUGUGCAAUGUAGCAGCCAGCUCAACAUUUUGAACCCACUAGUUGCGCACGAGUUUGCGCAAUGCGCUCCAAUCACCGCCAGUAAAAUAUUCCAAAUAUUUUAACUGCAAGCACAGAGAUGAGGGGACACAGAUAGCGGAGUGCGGAGGGAGUGAAAAGCGAGAGGUGCAAGUGAGCUAACAAGCUAACUAGCUAUAGACAGUGAAGGGGGCAUAUUAGAUGUGACAGUGGAGAAUGGAGAGGACUCCGUACGCUCGGCGAGUUUUGUCCACAGAAAGGGUACUCAAACUCGGUCUCUACCGACCAGGGGGCGUGUGCUGAAACUGGAGAAACACCGGGUGGAAAGUAAGGAAUGGCUGAUCCUCUGCGGAGGACUUUACUAGCAAAACUUCGGGGGAAGAAAUCCAAGAAUGGGACACCGGUUGGUGGAUACGGAGCUGCAGCUAAUGGGGGCAGAGAAGCUCUGAUAGAAAAUGACCACUCCUCCUUCUCCAACGGCCUUGAUGUGGGCGGUGGCAAGGCUGUCGAGACGUCGCUAUGGAGACCCCCGCUCAACACCAUCACCGUCUCCAAGAAACGUAAUUGGCUCCAGCAGAGCUCUGGGAGGCCGCGUCACGCCACGGACGAACCCCAGUACCUUCUGGGAGCAGAGGAAUACAAUGGACACGGAAAUGCUCCACUCCCCCCUCUUAGCCCCUCCCCAGAGAACCUAAACCCUCCCGGGCCAACCCUAUCUCACCCAUUCCACCUACACCUGCCCCUCGUUAGAAUGGGCCACGCCCGUGUGGCGCCUCGUUCCAGGUGUGUGGAACCGACUGAGGAGAAUGAUGCGGACGAUGAGGGGGAGAUCUGGUACAACCCCAUCCCUGAGGAUGAGGAACCAGAGCUGCAUCACAGCCACAGACCCACUCCCACCCCCCAGGUCAGGCUGAUGGUCCAGACACGGCCCCAGGGUCCUCACGUCCCCCAGACCCAGAGGAGGCCCAGCAGGGGAGAGGAGGUUGGGGUCAGGCGGGCCCUGGAGGGAUGCAGCCCUAACCUGGAGGGUGUGGGGGAGAGCAUGGGUGGCGGAGGUGGAGAGCGGAGUCAGCAGGGGAUUGCCAUGCGUUGCAUGGGGCCGUCUCUACAUCUGCAAAGACAGAUGCUGCUCGCGUGCAAACCUCAGGAGUGGCCAACCAUUUCCAGCAGAGCCACAGCUACAGGUAAAGAACACGCUCUCUAG
rnacentral:lncRNA from 13 species